rnacentral:lncRNA from 1 species
UGCUUUUCUCUUUUUUUCUUUUCUUUUUUUGUGAAAAAGAAAAAUAAAAAUAAAUCUGGUGGCCGGUCCGGUGAGGGGAAAUCGCCGACUAGGGUUCCGGCGAGGGCACCGGGAGCGGCGCGACGGCGGAACAGCAACAGGAGCUUCGGGGAUCGGCGCGGGCUGGCGUCGCGGGUCGGCUAGGGCUGGAGGCAGGGCGGAGUCGUCGGAGCUCCGACGCGGGGUACCGGCGAGGGGCGUCGCGGUUGGAGGACCUCAGGUGCGGGCUGCAGUGGCGUCGAUGCUCGGGCAGAGGGCAAGAGUGGCGACGGCCGGCUUGCGGUUGAGAGCUACUGUGGCGUCGUCGUCGCGAGUUGCUGCAGGCCGAGGAGGCGCAGCGACUGGCGUGGGCUGGCGUCGCGGGUUGUUGCAACGGGCAGAUCUGGAGCAGCGGCAGCCAACGCGGGGGUAGCAGAUGGAGGCGCGGCAGAGCCUUCGGGCGCUGGGUUGGGCAGAUCGUGGUCAGAGUAGGGGCGGUCGUCGCUCGGAGAGAAAGGAU